CGGUUACCAUUUACAGCCCUACUGAAUAGUAUCGAACUCUAUAUUACCAUUUUAUGAGCUGCAUAUCUCAAUUGCAGAACUUUAAAGCAGCAAUAUCCACCUUUAUGAAACAAGAAGAAUGUUUACUCCAGCAAGAAACAUAUUCAUGAACACUGAAUUGAAAUGCCAAAUAUUUUGUUACAAAACAAUAGUCUAUUUUCUCAUAUAUCAAGAAAAAAAAUAGGGGACAAAAGAAAAACUUUUCUGUUAUGCUGAUCAUAAAUACAAAUGCUACAAUUUGGUAAUGAGAAACUUCUGUCCUCUGGAAUCACGCUUUCCAAUCCCCUGCACUGGAACUGGUGUUCUAAAAUGAUUUGCCAUUUACACCUGCACAUAAGGCCUAGUGUCAGAAAGUACUGUGCAAAAGUCUAUGAAGAUAAUUAUAAAUAACUAGAUUUAGAAACAAACAAUAUCUCAGUUAGAGAAGAUUGCAAGAAGGUGAGUAAACAGUGCAUAUACUUUCCAUAAUUUUUGUUCCUGUUUCGGUAAACAAACUGCUUGCAAUAAAUAAACAUGGAAGUUGAUAAGAUUCAUGAUAUGGAAAUGUCUAGCCUACAAUCUACCACCCAAAUGGUAUGCCGAUGAGGAGUACAACGAUACACAGCAGCACAAGCUCUUUCUUUUCAACAUUAAAGGUUAGGGUUCUUCCAAUGCGAGGAAAUCACCAGUUGCUCAAAUAACACUAUCAUAAAACUUAUUCAAAGGGACGCAAAGUCUAUUUUAACUAUUUGAAUCCCUUUUAAACAGUAUGUGCCCCAAAAGUUGCUUAGAUUGUGGGACUCUCCUUAACCCCCCAUAAAUGAGAGGCUUUCGUCCUCAAGGGCAUUGGCAUUGGCACUUAGUAUCAAAUACAAAUGAUACAAUUUUGACCGAGGAAUUAGGCAACAUCAAUAAAUACGCAGCUUAAAUUUUCAAGACUUGAUAAUAUCAAAAAUAUGAAAGUGUACCUAAUUUAAGUCAUUUGGCUUUUCCCAAUACAACUAGGAUAUUGGGUCAAAGUAGAACAUUUUUUAACUUUACAAAUGCCAAACAAAAGUACAAUACAUGAGCUAAAACAAUUGAAAAAUAAUUUCACCUGAAAUACAACUCAAGAACAUAUAAUGCCAGCCCAUAUCCAACUUAUAAACAUAAAACAUCAGCUAACAUUUAGAAAAUGUAAAAAUUAUAAUAUUAUCCUCUCUUAUUUAACAUUAAGUUCAAAAAUUAUAAUAAUGAAUUUGAUACGUUAUAAUAAAUCUAAAUAUUAAAACUACUUCAGCAGUAAAUUAACCAAAAAUCAACAUAGAAUAAGACUUAAUUUAACCACAAGCUGUUAUUUUAAUCGCAGUCUAUGUAAAUUCUGAGUAGGCCCACUUUUUGGAUAGCAUCCUUUUCACCCUCAGAACACAUCUAUAAACUCUCAAAGUUAAGACCUCUCCACUGUUUAUGGUCAAGACUUUUCCAUUAAGAUCCCAAAUUUCAAGUUCUCAUAACAAAUCAUAACAAAAGAAGACUAUUUGAGAAGUAAACAAAUAAACUCAAAUACUCGAUAUGCAAAAUAAACAAAUCAUUCAAAGAAUUAAAUGCAUUGAACCUCAUGACUAAUGGAGUUAUUAUGAUUUUAGUCACUACUAAUUUACUAAUAUAAAUGUACGAAAAAUAUUAAGCUUUAUGGCUUUUUAGAAAACCAGAGAGGAUUACAUAUGAAAAAACAAAUGACAGUUAAAAAAAUCUGAUAUGAGAAAAAAGGUGUAGCAGCAAAGUGUUUGGCUAUAAAAAACCACAAAACCAGAAAAGAAAAAUAAGGAAUCAUACCUCAAUUUCCAUGAACCGAUACAUGUAAAUGGGACACGGGCUCAAUCCCGAAGGCCAAGUUCAAGCUCAAGUUCAUCAUCCUCUUCAAACAACUUUAACAGGCGAGCAUACUGCUCUUCACGUUUCUUCUUUUGCCAUAAUUUGAAAAGAAAAAUUGACAAAAGCACAAAUACCAAAAGAACAACGAAUAUGAUGACUACCCGCGUCCCUGUACUGCCACUGGAAGUAGCCUGAACAUCAGCCUUCUUUCCAUCUUUGGAACUUGAUGAAUCAUCUGAAAAGCCUGAAAGGAUCAAACAUGUCUCAGAGACUACACUAUCAUUUUCUUGGAAGAUCUUAGUCAAAAGCUGGAAAGGAGACUACAUAUAUGGGGUUUUUGUGUGGGUGGGUGGGUUUUUUUUUUUGGGGGGGUGGUGGGGGUGGGGGAGAAAGGCCCAUCUAAAUUUGGAUAAGAUAUAUAGUAACUGGAGAUGUAUGGAACAUGAUUCUGUUAACCUCAAACAGGUCAUACAUAAUUCACUGAUAACAAUAAUCCAGAUACAUGUAGGAUAAAGUUCUACAGAUAUAUGUAUAUAUUUAGCCUUUUUUAGACUUCUACAUAUAUAUGUAUAUAAUGGAGCUAUUGCUAAUAUAUAUAAAGUGAUUACACAUUGAUAUCCUGUUACUUUAUGCAUAUAGGUUUUUCAUAUCUUUUCUCGAAUUCAUUGAAAUAAAAAAGUAUUAGCAUGAUUUCUAAAAAUUUAUAUAUACAGAUUACAAAGAGAAGGAUAAAAGAGGACAAAGUCACUGCAGAGAUUUCUUGUCUCAGGUUGACAACUGUAUUUAUUGGUAAGGAUGACUGAAUACUUGACGCUCUUUUUUAUUAUAUAUAAUAUAAAACGGGAAUUUGAUUGUUGAAUUUCUAAGGUGUCUAUGAACUCUUUCAAUAAAGGGGUGAAUAAGUAUACACUGGACUGGAUUUAGCCGCUCCCAAGUCUCUACUCAAUAUUAUUCGAAAUAAUAUUCAUAAAAAACUUAUAAAAGUACUUGUUUAAGAAUUGAAAUAACAUGAUUCCAUUUAAAUAUCUCCAAUUUGCUUUCUUAUAGAACAAGUACCUAUAAUAUUUUUGCUUUCAAGUGACAUUCUGUGUUGAAAUUUCAAAAGCUCCAAAGUACUAUAAAAUUCAAAUUAUAUUCAAGAUUGAACCUUUAAUGUGUCCUGAUUUCAUUUACAGUUUCCCUAACUGAACAGGAUACUUAUACUAAAAUAUUAGGAAGUGGCUAGCUGCCUUAAUGAUGAGUGCAUAUUAUUCAUUUAUUUUGAUUCCAUUAUAUUUAGUUUUAUUGCAUGUUUCAUGGGUAUAUGAGCUUAUUAAGGUAUUUAAUGAUUUCAGGAAGAAUUGGAGCUGAAAUGAGGAAAAAGAGAAAAUUGCAGAAUUUUUAGCAUUAAGUUGGAUGCAUGUUCUUAGCUUGGGACUUGAAUUUUAUUGUAGAGCUCUUCUUUAGCUUUCCGGAACAUCUUGAAUCGUCCCAAUCGGAGUUCAUAUGAAAAAGUUAUGAUAUUUUUACUAAACGAACGUUGAACCUCAAAGUUUGGAAGUUGUAAUUUACACAGCAGUCACUUGGAGGCCGAUUUCGACCUUGAUGCAGAGCGAUUCUGUCGAUUCUCAAAGAAUGAAAGUUGUAGAUCUCGUCGAUAUCUUCGUUUUGAUAGGUAGCAGGCCCCGUAACUCCUCCUAGAUCAAAAGUUAUGCUCGUUUUACCAAAGGACGUCGCAGCAGGAAAUGAAAAUUCACCCCAGCGAAUUUGAGCGGGAAAAUCAAGAAAUCUUGGAUUUUUGGAAAGUUUCUAAAUGCAGAUUUUGGUAGACUUCUACAUGGAAUUGGAUUGAUAUUUCUAUUAGCUUUAGGAUUUCCUUUAGACUAAGAUUUAUUUCCAAAUUGAAUUCUAUUUCUUUAUGGAAACUAGUUAUGAUUUGUAAAUCCUUUUAGGAUUUGGAUUUCUACAUCCUAUAGGAUUUAGGACUUUGUCUAGCACUAUAAAUAGAGGAUGAGGGUCAAGGUUUUAUUCAUUCAAUAUUCAACAUUCAAGUAUCCUCUAUUGGAGUGAAGGCUCAAGAGCAUGUCAGGCUAGUUCUUUUUAUUCAGUUCUAAAGGGAGGUGAAUCCUUGUUACAAGUAAUUAAUUAAUUGAGUAUUAUUAUUUAUUCCUUCUUGUGUGAAAUUUCUUCUGAUAAUCUGUUUUCAUUGAUUGCAUGCUAAUUGAUCUAAUUAAUUUAAUAUGGCCAAUUGAGUUAAUUUGAUCAUUAUCAUAUGCUAGAUUAAGAUUGGUAUUACGUGUAAUUGAUAUCUCUCUUCAUCACAAGUAGCAACUUGGUAAUAAUAAUUGUGGACAAACUUUUGUUUAUUGCUAAGAUUAUUAGAAAACAAGUUAAAUAAAUCGAGCUUAUGUGUUUGUUGCUUGGAUUAGCCUAAUUUUCUAUUUCUUAAUGCUUCUAUCAUAUUAAAUCUAGAGAGCUUAUUCUAGGUUAUAUGCUAGUUAGAAUCUGGUGGAGAGCUUGUUUCAUACAGUGAUAAUCUAAGGAGAAUUUCGGAUAGCAGAGCUUAUUGUUAUCUAGGGCUAAUAAUUUCAUUGAAGGAAAAAUAAUAAUUACUUGAUUAAUUGAUUGUUGUACUUGGUGAAACUGAACUGCAGAACUGAAGUUUUUACAUAUUUGGUUAAUUUUAUCGUUAAUUCUUGUUCUCUUAGUUUAAAAAUAAUUUUCAAAAAACCCCCAUCUUUAUUUUCUGUUAAAAUAGUAGAAUAAUUCUAAAACAACUUUACUCUCUGUGGGAUCGAUCCUUACUUGCUACUGUGCUAAUUAUUGUAAAUUGUGGAGUGAAAGUGAGGUUAAUUUAGGAGUGUCAACGACAGCUCCCAAAUUUUGGCGCCGUUGCCGGGGAGUAAUUUGGCGUUUUGUUUUUAUUCUAUUAUUUGUUUUGUUUUUGUUUUAUGACUCGAUCUUCUCAGGCUACUAUAUUAGAUUUUGAUCCAGAGAUUGAGAAAACUGCAAGGAGGCUAAAGAAGGAAAAACUUAAAGUUCAACAGUCUUCUGCAUAUAUAGACGAGGCUUCUGCAUCAUCACCAGGCCUCAACUUAGCUUUGGAAUUAUUAUCCAACGAAUCCGACAAAGAAGAAGAGAUGGCGAUUCCAAACAACAAUAGAACUCUCAGGGAGUUGGCAACUCCUAAUUUAAAUCAACAACCUCUGUGCAUUGAAUAUCCUAAUUUAGAUGCUGCAUUUGAACUUAAAUCUGGACUAAUCCAUUUACUGCCUACUUUUCGUGGUCUUACAGGUGAAGACCCCUACAAACAUCUGAAGGAAUUUCAUGUGGUGUGCUCUACUAUGAAACCAAACGGAAUCACCGAAGAACAAAUCAAGCUGAGAGCAUUCCCAUUCUCCCUAGCAGAUUUGGCAAAGGAUUGGUUGUACUACCUACCCUCAGGUUCAAUACAGUCUUGGAAUGACAUGAAGCAGCUAUUCUUGGAGAGAUACUUUCCAGCCUCAAGAGUAGCCAACAUAAGGAAGGAGAUCUGUGGGAUUAGACAAUUCAGUGGGGAGACAUUAUACGAGUAUUGGGAAAGAUUCAAAAAACUUUGUUCCAGCUGUCCACCGCAUCAAAUAGAUGAACAACACCUGAUCCAGUAUUUCUACGAAGGGUUGGUACCGAUGGAUAGAAGCAUGAUCGAUGCAGCUAGCGGAGGAGCACUAUUUGACAAGACCCCAGAGGCGGCAAGGAAUUUAAUUGCAAACAUGGCAGCAAACUCACAACAAUAUGGCACUAGAACAAAUCAUGCACCAGUAAGGGUAAGCGAGGUAAGCACUUGUGAUUAUGGUCAACAAAUUUCUGAAUUAACUGCUAUGGUUAGACAAUUAGCUACAGGUCAAUUGCCAAUUGCAAAGGUUUGUGGAAUAUGUCUACAACCAAAUCACAAUACAGAUGAAUGCCCAACAUUACAAGAUGACGAGGCUGUGCAACAAGCUAAUACAAUGGGAAAUUAUCAGCCACCACCUCAGAAAAAGUAUGAUCCGUACUCAAACACAUAUAACCCAGGAUGGAGGGAUCAUCCAAGUCUGAGUUAUGGGAGCAAGCAAGCGGCACCACCUGCAUUUCCACCUAGGCAGCAGGGCUUCCAACCAGCCCAACCUCAAUAUCAACCGAAGCAAGCAGUCCAUGCACCUACUGGAACAUCAUUGGAGGAUAUGUUCAAAGCAUUCAUGGGACAGACACAACAGUUCAUGAAUCAGACACAGCAGUUCCAGCAAGAGACAAAAACUUCGGUUCAAGAUUUGAGGAACCAAGUAGGACAACUGGCUACAACUGUGGGGAUAUUGGAAUCUAGAGGCUCAGGAAAAUUACCAUCUCAAACAGUAGUCAACCCAAGGGAGAAUGCAAGUGCCAUAACUUUACGGAAUGGAACACAGUUGGAUACACCACCGACCCCCGUAGAGUUCAAGAAGGAAGCAGCUAAGGAGGGAACAGAAAAAUCCAAGGUAAAACCUAAACCUCCUAAUCAGCUUAAAAACAUUCCUCUUCCCUUUCCUUCCAGAAUUUCUAAAACUUCAAAGAACGAUGAAAAAGAAAAAGAAAUUUUGGAAACUUUUAGAAAAGUAGAAGUGAACAUCCCUCUUCUUGAUGCAAUUAAACAAGUACCACGGUAUGCUAAAUUUUUAAAAGAAUUAUGCACUAAUAAAAGAAAAUUGCAAAAUGAUGAAAGAGUCACAGUUGGAGAAAAUGUAUCUGCUGUUCUUCAAAGAAAAAUGCCUCCUAAAUGUAAAGAUCCAGGAAUGUUCACAAUCCCAUGCAAAAUAGGAAACACCAGAUUUGAAAAAGCCAUGCUAGAUUUAGGAGCUUCAAUUAAUGUUAUGCCUUUAUCUGUUUAUGCUUCCUUAAAUCUAGGCCCUUUAAAAAAUACUGGUGUGAUUAUCCAAUUGGCAGAUCGUACUAACACCUACCCCCGAGGGGUAAUUGAAGAUGUCUUAGUGCAGGUGAACGAACUAAUCUUUCCUGCAGAUUUUUACAUUGUGGAUAUGGAAGAUGAUACAUCACCAAAUCCUUCCCACAUCUUGUUAGGAAGACCCUUCCUAAAAACAGCGAGAACCAUGAUUGAUGUGCAUAAUGGGACCUUGACUAUGGAGUUUGAUGGUGAGAAAAUUCAGUUUAACAUCUAUGAUGCCAUGAGGUACCCUAGUGAUAUAGGACAAGUUUUUGCUAUCGAUGUGAGAGACUCCUUGGUGCAUAGAGCUUUUGAACAACUACAUAGGGACAAUUUGGAAAUUGCAAUCAACAACAGUUUGGACAUGGACAGAGAAGAAGAGAUUGCGCAAACCCAGGAAUUGAAAGAGAAUGUAGCUGCAUUACAUUCAUUGCCAAAAUUUUCAAAUAAGUCAACGGUAUAUUCUAUUCAAUUUCCUGUUUCUCAUCAAAAGUUAUUACCUUCUGUUGUACAAGCCCCAACUCUAGAAUUGAAACAAUUACCUGCUCAUUUGAAAUAUGCAUAUUUGGGGACUAAUGACACUUUGCCUGUAAUUAUUGCUAGUAAUCUAACCAAGGUGCAGGAAGAAAAAUUGAUGAGAAUCCUAAGGGACCAUGUUACAGUUUUUGGUUGGACAAUAGCGAAUAUCAAGGGUAUUAGUCCUGGCAUGUGCAUGCAUCGGAUAUUGUUAGAGGAUGGAGCUAAGCCUACAAGAGAUGCGUAAAGGAGAUUGAAUCCACCCAUGAUGGAGGUGGUGAAAAAAGAAGUGCUCAAAUUGCUUGAUGUCGGUAUCAUCUAUCCCAUCUCCGAUAGUCAAUGGGUGAGUCCAGUGCAGGUAGUCCCAAAUAAAUCCGGAAUCACCGUUGUCAAGAACGAUGAUAAUGAGUUGGUGCCCACACGAAUGCAAACAGGGUGGAGAGUGUGUAUAGAUUAUAGAAAAUUGAAUGCUGUAACAAGAAAAGAUCACUUUCCUCUUCCUUUUAUUGAUCAAAUGUUGGAGAGAUUAGCUGGGCACACUUAUUAUUGUUUUCUAGAUGGUUUCUCAGGAUAUAACCAGAUUAUGAUUGCACCCGAGGACCAAGAGAAGACCACAUUCACAUGUCCCUUUGGUACUUUUGCCUAUCCACGAAUGUCUUUUGGACUGUGUAAUGCCCCAGGUACUUUUCAAAGAUGCAUGGUAAGCAUUUUUUCAGAUCUUUUAGAAGAAUGCAUCGAGGUUUUUAUGGAUGAUUUCACAAUUCAUGGUGAUUCUUUGGAUGCAUGCUUAGAUAAUUUAAAUCGUGUUCUAGAUAGAUGCAUGAAAACUAAUCUUGUUUUAAAUUGGGAAAAAUGUCAUUUCAUGGUAGAACAGGGAAUAGUACUUGGUCAUGUUGUGUCAUCUAAAGGUCUUGAAGUUGAUAAAGCUAAGAUAGAUGUUAUAUCUACUUUGCUUUACCCCAUCAGCGUGCGGGAGAUUCGCUCUUUUCUUGGUCAUGCAGGAUUUUAUCAAAGAUUUAUCAAGGACUUCUCGAAGAUGGCAUUACCCUUAUGUAAGUUGCUGCAAAAAGAUGUGAACUUUCAGUUUGAUGAUGAAUGCAAGGAGGCUUUUGACACUUUAAAGAAAUUAUUAACUUCUGCUCCUGUCAUUCAACCGCCAAAUUGGAAGUUACCAUUUGAGAUCAUGUGUAACGCAAGCAACUAUGCAGUGGGGGUUGUUUUGGGACAAAGGAUUGACAAAGCCGUUCAUGCCAUCUACUAUGCUUCUAGGACUUUGAAUGAGGCUCAGAUAAACUAUUCCACAACUGAAAAAG
rnacentral:lncRNA from 1 species